rnacentral:lncRNA from 1 species
GCUUAGAAGCUAUGGAGGUGACUAUGUGGCAGAACGCUUCAAGAGAAUUGAGGGAGAUCUGUUUUGUAAGGCAUGUGAUCUCUGGCUCUGAAUUGUUCCUAGAGGUCUAAAAAUAGGACUGUGCAUAAAUGGUUCAUUGACCAGUGCUGGAUUCAUCGGAGGGGAGAGGUCAUCCACGGUUGAUCCUAUUGUGAGUGUGUGUGGUGGGGGAGUGACAACAAUCAGGGCCACUGUGUUUUCUGGGAGGCUUGACAAGGUCCACAUCCAAACUCAGGAAUCCCUCCCCUGGAGCCCAGGACUGUCCCUGCAUAUGGGUGGCCUCCAUGUGUCACUGAGCCUGGGUGCUGACAACCCUGGGUCUUUAGAAGCAUAUGCAGAGGAGGAGGCAGGCUAACCAAGGGACUAGGAGGCAUGAUGGCAGAUGGAGUGUGUGUGUGUGUGUGUGUGUGUGUGUGUGUGUGUGUGUGUGUCCAGGAGAAAGCUAUAACAACCUGUCACAGUGAAUCAGUAAAGGGAAAAUCAGCUGUUCUUGACAGCCUAGCUCAUGUCCCAGGCCUGGGCCCCUCCCAGGAGUGGGGCCAGGUACUCUGGCACAUCUCCUCUGUUCUGAACCUGCAUCCUGACUGCUCCCACACAGACUGUGACUCAUCAGUCAGUCCAUCCAGAGACAGUGGUCCAGAACUUCCCUGUGGAACAUGGAAGAGGCCACAUUUCUUAGUUGUUGCCAGGCAAACCAGGACAGAUGACUACCCUACCCUUAUGGGAGAGCCUUCUGGUGCCAUACCACGAUGUUGAUAGAGUUCCUAGACAAAAAAACUGCACAUGGUGGCCACCUGCAGUCUGAAGGGAGAUGCUGUAACCUUCCUGACAGCUUUGCAGACACCUCUGCCUUCCAAAUCUCUCACUGUUAGAGUACUGAGCAGGCGCAUAGCAGCGUUGGAGGGGGAGCUUGAGGUGUGGGAUGAGCAGGCUGGGCCAGCUGAGUGGGCUGAGGGAAGAAGGGGAGAGGCAGGGACUGAGGUGUGAGCUGGUAGCAGGCAGGCUCCUCCAGUAUAUUACUCAUGUGUGUGCCCUUGGCAAGGGGAAGGAAACACUGGCACACUGUGCACCCACAUGAGACGACACAAGUCACUUCCUCUCACAUGCUGCCUGCCGUAGUAGGUGACUGAGGGAGCUACACUUCAGAAAUAUGAAGUCUUUCCAUGAUGUCUGUAAACAGCUGAGACUAUCCAGAAAGGGGAAUGAAGCUAUAGAUAAUAGCCUCUUGAGUGGCCUGCAGCCUCCUGGCUUCUGUAGGCAGUAGUAGGCUGGGAUGGGAUGCUGGAAUCCAAUGUGAUGGUAGAUGGGAAGGGCUAGGAUGGGGCGGGAUAGAGUGAGGUGGGGUGGGGUGGGAUGAAGAUGGACACCUUCUGGCUGGCCUGGAGUUUGGGGCAAAGACUGUUUUGUUUAUUAGGAAGAUGAGACAAGAAGCAGAAAUCUCAGCAGACAGGACAGAGCCCCCACGCAGGGAAGUUUGGUCCCAAGUGUGCCCGCAUUACCGAGCCUGUCUGUGGUUUGUAGUGUAGCAUCCCUUCUGUGAACCACAGAUAAAGGAUGGAAACUCAGCUGCAUAUGAGAUGAUGUGAGGGAAAGGUGUCUGACUGACUGGAAAGUGCUGGACAGAUGCCAGAUGCUUCAUGGCUACCUCAGCCACAGGUCAGAGGCCACAGGUCACAGGUAACAGAGGGGUGUUUAUCACACAGCCCUGGCCACUGCUGUGUCUCCAUGUGGCUGCAGUGAGAUGGUCUUGCACAAUAGUUUUCAGCAAGCUGACUUCUGAGAACAGCUUCUACAACACCCUCUCCUCAGGCUCCACAGUUUCCAAGGCCCAGUCUGGCAGGAGUGACCUAGCUACACCCUGUCAGCCUAUCAUCAGGAUUCUUCUGGGACAUUUUGGUUUCCUUGUGUUUUCUAAUAUUGUCAGAUAUCCAGUCUUACAUUGGGGCCGUUGCAUGGGCUUGCUGCAUAUGCAAAGAACAAAAAAAUCUUAUUGUCAGUGCCAGUGGAUUGGUGAACGUGCUUGGCGCUUUACUUCAGGAAACAGGAAGUCAUUUUCCUUCCUGCUAGAUUCAGAUAAACCUGAAAUAAAGAAAAAUGAUAGAUAUUAGGAUACUUUAAUUGCUUUGUGCAUCUCUGUUACAUAAGAAGUAGGCUCUGUACUUUAAAAUGGGUUUCCUGCUUGGCAUGAUGUCUAGCCUGUGUUCCAAGGGACAGAGGGGUAGGAGUCACGAACUCUGGCCAUGAGUAGAAAGAAUGGACGAGUGAUGGGUGACUCUCCCCGCUAGAUUAGUGGUGGUGGAGGGGGGUGGGGACAGGGAACGUGACCAGUGAUUUAAAAGUGCUUUCUGCAGUAAGCUUAAAGUCUGUAAAAUGUAAGCUGUGUGAGGCGUGUGUGGCAUCCUGGGACCGCUGCUGCUGUACACUUCAAAAAUGGCUAAUGAUGUCACAACUGUUUUCACAAAAAUAGAAUCAAAUCCAGGAGACAGGACUCAGCUCAGUCUGCAGUUUGUAGCCCCAGUAAGCUGUUGGAUGCUGGCCUUUCCCUCACAACAUCAUUAUGACAGUCAUAAGGAAGGGGAGGCCAAGGCAUUGAGCUCUUUGCCACACACCCCGGACCCACCAACCCAGGGAGUGGGCAUGCAAACAGGAGUGUUUCUAAAGGACAUCAGUGGGCCUUUGUUAACUCCUUCAUGGAGAAACAUGCAUAACCUCUGUGCUGCUUCAUACAUGUGUAAGCAUGUACUAUCCAUGUCCUCAAGUCCACUACACGCACACCCUCCUUCCAAAGAAGGACAAAUGAGGGCAUGAAGACCACACAGUCAGGGUGCCAGAGAUGAACUCGGGCUCCCCAAACAAUCCAGGUGACCUCUCUCUCCUUCAUCUGUCAAGAGGGAUGGUUGAAAUAGGACCUUCACACCAACCAGCUUCAAUAAAUCUAUUAACGUCUCUCAGCUGACUUUCUUUUUUUUUUUUAUUUAUAAAACAGAGUUUAUUCAGGGCAUGAGAAGGGAAGUUAAGAGGGUAGUAGAAGCAGAGAAAGGCAGAGAGAGAGAGAGAGAGAGAGAGAGAGAGAGAGAGAGAGAGAGAGAGAGAGAGAGAGAACACUAACAUGCCCUAAAGGAACACUGGGCCACGCAGCUUCUGCCAGGUCCACACACUCUCACAGUACCAUUUUGCUCCCUUGGCGCAGGGAAGCCUAGUCACUCUGGCUGCAGGGCUGUGAUUACAGGCCCCUGAGCGCUGCUGUGGCCAGGUUCACGUUUUGCGCCGUUACCCUAACGAGAUGCCACCUUUAAUUUUAGCUAAUAAGGUAGAGAUCUGAAGAAGAUAGAAAAACUAAAGGUAAGUGCUCCUGUCCUGUCCUUCUGAGGAUGUGGACCUCCUCGAAACCCAGGUUGGUUAAAGUCUCCCCGCUGCACCUGUCUGUAACUUUUAAACCAG